AUCAGUGUAACAGAAUCAUCUGUGAAUUCAUUUUGUGGAGUUUAAAACAAUGAAAACCAUGCUGGUGUGUGUCUGGCUAGUCAGCAGUUUGAUUCACAUGAUCUCAGGCUGUUCUCUAUCUGCACCCAAAGAGGUCACUGGGUACACAGGAGGCUCCGUGGUCUUGCCUUGCUACUGCACUGAGGGACAG